rnacentral:rRNA from 1 species
UAGUCCACGCAGUAAACGAUGAGUGCUAGUUGUCGGGAUUUUUCUCGGUGGCGAAGCUAACGCGUUAAGCACUCCGCCUGGGGAGUACGGCCGCAAGGCUAAAACUCAAAGGAAUUGACGGGGACCCGCACAAGCAGUGGAGCAUGUGGUUUAAUUCGAUGAUACGCGAGAAACCCUACCAACCCUUGACAUACCUAUCGCGAUUUCCAGAGAUGGAUUUCUUCAGUUCGGCUGGAUAGGAUACAGGUGCUGCAUGGCUGUCGUCAGCUCGUGUCGUGAGAUGUUCGGUUAAGUCCGGCAACGAGCGCAACCCACGUCCUUAGUUACCAGCAUUUAGUUGGGUACCCUAGGGAGACCGCCGGUGAUAAGCCGGAAGAAGGUGUGGAUGACGUCAAGUCCUCAUGGCCCUUACGGGUUGGGCGUACACACGUGCUACAAUGGCAGUGACAAUGGGUUAAUCCCAAAAAGCUGUCUCAGUUCGGAUUGGGGUCUGCAACUCGACCCCAUGAAGUCGG